rnacentral:rRNA from 1 species
UACGUAGGGUGCAAGCGUUGUCCGGAAUUAUUGGGCGUAAAGAGCUCGUAGGCGGUUUGUCGCGUCUGCUGUGAAAACCCAGGGCUCAACCUGGGAAUGGCAAUGGAUACUGGCUGGCUAGAGUGUGUCAGAGGAUGGUGGAAUUCCCGGUGUAGCGGUGAAAUGCGUAGAGAUCGGGAGGAACAUCAGUGGCGAAGGCGGCCAUCUGGGCUGUAACUGACGCUGAGGCGCGAAAGCGUGGGGAGCAAACAGG